UACGGAGGGUGCAAGCGUUGUUCGGAAUCACUGGGCGUAAAGGGCGUGUAGGCGGCCCGCUAAGUCUGAUGUGAAAGCCCGGGGCUCACCCCCGGAAGGGCAUUGGAAACUGGCGGACUCGAGUCCCGGAGAGGAGGGUGGAAGUUCCCGGUGUAGUGGUGAAAUGCGUAGAUAUCGGGAGGAACACAGUGGCGAAAGCGGCUCCUGGACCAGCACCG
rnacentral:rRNA from 1 species